UCCUAGUGAUUAGAGUUUGAUCAUGGCUCAGAACGUACGCUGGCGGCACGCCUAACACAUGCAAGUCGAACGCAGUAGCAAUACUGAGUGGCAAACGGGUGAGUAUAAUGUGGGAAUCUGCCUUUUGGUUUGGAAUAACACGAGGAAACUUGUGCUAAUACCGGAUAAGCCCUUACGGGGAAAGUUUUAACGCCGAAAGAUGAGCCUGCACUUGAUUAGCUAGUUGGUAAGGUAAAGGCUUACCAAGGCAACGAUCAAUAGCUGUUCUUAGAGGAAGACCAGCCACAUUGGGACUGAGACACGGCCCAGACUCCUACGGGAGGCAGCAGUGGGGAAUCUUGCACAAUGGGGGAAACCCUGAUGCAGCGAUGCCGCGUGAGUGAAGAAGGCCUUUGGGUUGUAAAACUCUUUCGUCGGGGAAGAAAAUGACUGUACCCGAAUAAGAAGGUCCGGCUAACUUCGUGCCAGCAGCCGCGGUAAUACGAAGGGACCUAGCGUAGUUCGGAAUUACUGGGCUUAAAGAGUUCGUAGGUGGUUGAAAAAGUUGGUGGUGAAAUCCCAGAGCUUAACUCUGGAACUGCCAUCAAAACUUUUCAGCUAGAGUAUGAUAGAGGAAAGCAGAAUUUCUAGUGUAGAGGUGAAAUUCGUAGAUAUUAGAAAGAAUACCAAUUGCGAAGGCAGCUUUCUGGAUCAUUACUGACACUGAGGAACGAAAGCAUGGGUAGCGAAGAGGAUUAGAUACCCUCGUAGUCCAUGCCGUAAACGAUGUGUGUUAGACGUUGGAAAUUUAUUUUCAGUGUCGCAGCGAAAGCGAUAAACACACCGCCUGGGGAGUACGACCGCAAGGUUAAAACUCAAAUGAAUUGACGGGGACCCGCAUAAGUAGUGGAGCAUGUGGUUUAAUUCGAAGAUACGCGCAGAACCUUACCAACACUUGACAUGUUCGUCGCGACUUUAAGAGAUUAAAGUUUUCGGUUCGGCCGGGCGAAACACAGGUGCUGCAUGGCUGUCGUCAGCUCGUGUCGUGAGAUGUUGGGUUAAGUCCCGCAACGAGCGCAACCCUCACUUUUAGUUGCCAUCAUUAAGUUGGGCACUCUGAAAGAACUGCCAGUGAUAAGCUGGAGGAAGGUGGGGAUGACGUCAAGUCCUCAUGGCCCUUACGUGUUGGGCUACACACGUGCUACAAUGGUAUCUACAACAGGAAGCAAGACGGCGACGUUAAGCAAAUCCUUAAAAGAUACCUCAGUUCGGAUUGCACUCUGCAACUCGAGUGCAUGAAGCUGGAAUUACUAGUAAUCGUGGAUCAGCGUGCCACGGUGAAUGCGUUCCCNGGGUCUUGUACACACCGCCC
rnacentral:rRNA from 1 species